rnacentral:rRNA from 1 species
AACGAACGCUGGCGGCAGGCCUAACACAUGCAAGUCGAGCGCGCCCUUCGGGGUGAGCGGCGGACGGGUGAGUAACGCGUGGGAACGUGCCCUUUUCUACGGAAUAGCCUCGGGAAACUGAGAGUAAUACCGUAUACGCCCUUUGGGGGAAAGAUUUAUCGGAAAAGGAUCGGCCCGCGUUGGAUUAGGUAGUUGGUGGGGUAAUGGCCUACCAAGCCGACGAUCCAUAGCUGGUUUGAGAGGAUGAUCAGCCACACUGGGACUGCGACACGGCCCAGACUCCGACGGGAGGCAGCAGUGGGGAAUCUUAGACAAUGGGGGCAACCCUGAUCUAGCCGUGCCGCGUGAGUGAUGAAGGCCUUAGGGUUGUAAAGCUCUUUCAGCUGGGAAGAUAAUGACGGUACCAGCAGAAGAAGCCCCGGCUAACUCCGUG